GGUAGUUUCUUGACCGUAAACGAUGUCGACUGGCGAUUGGGCGCACUUCUGCCGAAGUUGCGCCAGCAGUAUCGCCCGGGAAACCAAAGUGAUGGACUCCGGGGGGGAGUAUGGUUGCAAAGCUGAAACUUAAAGGAAUUGACGGAAGGGCACCACCAGGAGUGGAGCCUGCGGCUUAAUUUGACUCAACACGGGAAACCUCACCCGGCCCGAACACUGUGAUGACAGACAGGUUGAGAGCUCUUUCUCGAUUCAGUGGUUGGUGGUGCAUGGCCGUUCUUAGUUCGUGGAGCGAUCUGUCUGGUUAAUUCCGAUAACGAACGAGACUCUUGCCUGCUAAAUACGCCGGCGUCGACUCAGGUCGGCGACCGCACGCUUCUUAGAGGGACAAGCGGCUUUUAGUCGCGCGAAGCGGAGAGCAAUAACAGGUCAGUGAUGCCCUCAGAUGUUCGGGGCCGCACGCGCGCUACACUGCUUGCAUCAGCGUGUGUCACCCUCGCCGGCUGGCGUGGGCAAUCCGUUGAACCGCAAGCGUGCUAGGGAUCGGGGAUUGCAAUUAUUCUCCGUCAGCGAGGAAUUCCUUGUACUUGCGAGUCAUCAGCUCGCGGGGAAUCUGUCCCUGCCCUUUGUACACACCGCCCGUCGCUACUACCGAUUGAGUGGUUUAGUGAGGCCCACGGACUGCGCGCGGCACCCGGCGCUUCGGCGUCGCGUCGCGAGCGGAAAGUGAGACGAACUUGAUCACUUCUAGGAAGUAAAAGUCGUACAAGGUUUUC
rnacentral:rRNA from 1 species